UGGGUAACACUAACUGGAGGACCGAACCGACUAAUGUUGAAAAAUUAGCGGAUGACCUGUGGCUGGGGGUGAAAGGCCAAUCAAACCGGGAGAUAGCUGGUUCUCCCCGAAAGCUAUUUAGGUAGCGCCUCGUGAAUUCAUCUCCGGGGGUAGAGCACUGUUUCGGCUAGGGGGCCAUCCCGGCUUACCAACCCGAUGCAAACUGCGAAUACCGGAGAAUGUUAUCACGGGAGACACACGGCGGGUGCUAACGUCCGUCGUGAAGAGGGAAACAACCCAGACCGCCAGCUAAGGUCCCAAAGUCAUGGUUAAGUGGGAAACGAUGUGGGAAGGCCCAGACAGCCAGGAUGUUGGCUUAGAAGCAGCCAUCAUUUAAAGAAAGCGUAAUAGCUCACUGGUCGAGUCGGCCUGCGCGGAAGAUGUAACGGGGCUAAACCAUGCACCGAAGCUGCGGCAGCGACACUGUGUGUUGUUGGGUAGGGGAGCGUUCUGUAAGCCUGUGAAGGUGUGUCGUGAGGCAUGCUGGAGGUAUCAGAAGUGCGAAUGCUGACAUAAGUAACGAUAAAGCGGGUGAAAAGCCCGCUCGCCGGAAGACCAAGGGUUCCUGUCCAACGUUAAUCGGGGCAGGGUGAGUCGACCCCUAAGGCGAGGCCGAAAGGCGUAGUCGAUGGGAAACGGGUUAAUAUUCCCGUACUUGGUGUUACUGCGAAGGGGGGACGGAGAAGGCUAUGUUGGCCGGGCGACGGUUGUCCCGGUUUAAGCGUGUAGGUGUGUGUUCCAGGUAAAUCCGGUUCACUUUAACACUGAGGCGUGACGACGAGGCACUACGGUGCUGAAGCAACAAAUGCCCUGCUUCCAGGAAAAGCCUCUAAGCAUCAGGUAACAUCAAAUCGUACCCCAAACCGACACAGGUGGUCAGGUAGAGAAUACCAAGGCGCUUGAGAGAACUCGGGUGAAGGAACUAGGCAAAAUGGUGCCGUAACUUCGGGAGAAGGCACGCUGACACGUAGGUGAAGUGAUUUACUCAUGGAGCUGAAGUCAGUCGAAGAUACCAGCUGGCUGCAACUGUUUAUUAAAAACACAGCACUGUGCAAACACGAAAGUGGACGUAUACGGUGUGACGCCUGCCCGGUGCCGGAAGGUUAAUUGAUGGGGUCAGCGCAAGCGAAGCUCCUGAUCGAAGCCCCGGUAAACGGCGGCCGUAACUAUAACGGUCCUAAGGUAGCGAAAUUCCUUGUCGGGUAAGUUCCGACCUGCACGAAUGGCGUAAUGAUGGCCAGGCUGUCUCCACCCGAGACUCAGUGAAAUUGAACUCGCUGUGAAGAUGCAGUGUACCCGCGGCAAGACGGAAAGACCCCGUGAACCUUUACUAUAGCUUGACACUGAACAUUGAGCCUUGAUGUGUAGGAUAGGUGGGAGGCUUUGAAGUGUGGACGCCAGUCUGCAUGGAGCCGACCUUGAAAUACCACCCUUUAAUGUUUGAUGUUCUAACGUGGACCCGUUACCCGGGUUGCGGACAGUGUCUGGUGGGUAGUUUGACUGGGGCGGUCUCCUCCUAAAGAGUAACGGAGGAGCACGAAGGUUGGCUAAUCCUGGUCGGACAUCAGGAGGUUAGUGCAAUGGCAUAAGCCAGCUUGACUGCGAGCGUGACGGCGCGAGCAGGUGCGAAAGCAGGUCAUAGUGAUCCGGUGGUUCUGAAUGGAAGGGCCAUCGCUCAACGGAUAAAAGGUACUCCGGGGAUAACAGGCUGAUACCGCCCAAGAGUUCAUAUCGACGGCGGUGUUUGGCACCUCGAUGUCGGCUCAUCACAUCCUGGGGCUGAAGUAGGUCCCAAGGGUAUGGCUGUUCGCCAUUUAAAGUGGUACGCGAGCUGGGUUUAGAACGUCGUGAGACAGUUCGGUCCCUAUCUGCCGUGGGCGCUGGAGAACUGAGGGGGGCUGCUCCUAGUACGAGAGGACCGGAGUGGACGCAUCACUGGUGUUCGGGUUGUCAUGCCAAUGGCACUGCCCGGUAGCUAAAUGCGGAAGAGAUAAGUGCUGAAAGCAUCUAAGCACGAAACUUGCCCCGAGAUGAGUUCUCCCUGAGACUUAAAGUCUCCUGAAGGAACGUUGAAGACGACGACGUUGAU
rnacentral:rRNA from 1 species